CAGGCUUGGUGAGACCUGGGGCAGGAGUCUGAGCCUCCUGAGUCCCUUGGGAAGUGGUCGCUGCCCCCAGGACACUGCCCCCAGGGACCUGGCCACAGCCUCCUGCCGGAGCCCAAGAACAAAGUACAGCUGGAAUCUCUCAGUGAGUUCCUUUUUCAGUCAUUCUGGUAAAGCCACCCAGAGGCCAGGAGUGCAAAUAAAUGGCUUCCCUGGGCUCUGGGACAGACAGUGGUUCUCAAUGGUGGUAAAGGGCCCAGGGAGAGGGCUCCGACCGGGAGAUUAAUCACACUGGCUUUGAAGAACAUCCUGCAAUGUAGCAACUCGCAGAUCCGGAAUCUCAGCUCCCUCCUCCUUCCCCUUCAGAGAAUUGCACUGACGUUAUCUGUCACUGACACUGUGCUGAAAAGAAAUCACAAGCCAGAUUCGAUGACAACUGCCAGCUCACAGCCCUCCAGGCCACUCAUCUCUCCUCUUCCUGGGAGCCAAUCUCAAAAGCUAUUUGCUGUCACUGUGGUUUUAUUCCCAGGUGACCUCAUUAAGUGGAGGCAGAAGGGCAGGGUGGCCAUGUGGCUCCGUGGAAACAGCAAAGGCCCUGCCAGUCACCAGUCACCACAUUGACUUUCCUUGGGUCAGUCAUUAACCCAUCUGAGCCUCAACUUUCUCAUCGGUGAAAUGGGGAUGGAAUUGCCCACUGCAAAGGGCUGUUGUGACCAUUAUGUGAGGCGAUGUAUGCAAAUAACCUGGGAAGAACAGGUACUGAGUCAACAGCAGACAGUUCUAUUUCCUUUAAGCAAACUAAGAGCCAGAGCAGGAGGGGACUUUCUCUGUAUGUGAAAUGUCACUGGUCUGGACCUGUUGGGAAGGAGGGGGAGUAAAAAGGGGGAUAAAGGGUGUACAAGGGCUCUGGUUUUUAAAGGACUCCUCCCCUCCUCAUUCUUUUUUUUCUUUCAUGUUCUGAGAACUUACUAAUUGCCAGGAACUAGACUAGAUCCUGUCAGGGAUUCAAAAAAAAGGUAAGACAAAGUCCCUAUUGGCAAGGAGAUUGCAGCCCCUCCCUUCCUCCAUAGAGAUCAACUUUCCUAGUCUACGGACACUGGCUGCCUCUCCUUUUCCUCCCUUUUGGACAAGCGCUAGCCCCACGAAGCAGUGCCCUGAUCGAUGUUUUGUCCAUUAAUCACAUUUCUGAUACCCUGCCUUGACAGCCCCCUACUUGAAGGACCUUGGGACGAACUCCUUUCCUGGAGGAGAAGAGCCAGCCCCUGGGGCAGUGUGUCAGGUGGCAGGGACUCAGACUGGAAUUCGUACAGAGGUGGGGUGUAACCUCAGCCCUGCCACGUCCGAGCUGAGCAACACAGGUUAAGUUGACUUAACCUUUGUGAGUCUCUGUGUCCCCAUGUAUCAAACACAGAAAAUGAAACCCAGCUCACUUGGUUGUUGUGAAUCCUGGAUCUUCUAUUUGACUUCUCUCUAAUUCAGAUGAGAGCAGAUUGCCUUUACUUAAAGUGAGGCUUCUCGAUGUAACCGAAUCUUUUUCCUUCCUCCCUAAAUCUGAGAUUUCUUCUACCCUGCUGGCCCUGGUCAAUGGCACCAUCGACCUCCCGGCCACGCAGCCUAGAGGCUUUCUCUCCCUCACCUGCACCCAAUUAUGGGCCAAGGCUUAUCCAGUUCACCUCCACAGCUUCUCUUGUUCUCUCACCAUUCUGACUCCCACCACCUGGGUCAAGGCUCUCUCACCUCUCCACCUGGAGUUCCCACCAUAACCCCCUCAUUGGAUUUCAUCCUCAAUAUUUCACCCUCUAACCCAUCCUUUACACUGCUUCCCAGGCCACCUUCCUAAAAAUCAGAUCAGGUAAUGCCACUGUCUUCUUCUAAAGCUUCUGAUCAUUUUUCAUUACCUAGAGAAUAAAUUAAUUCCACCUUCCCCAUCAAAUCAUUUCAGGCCCUCCAUACCAUACUCUCAGCUGCCUGCCAACCCUGUCUCUUCUUAUUUCCCUCCAAGAACCCUACAUCCAACCUCACUGAGCAACUACUGUUUCCCAAACACAACAAGUGUUCUCUUAACUCUGGGCCUUUGCACAUGCUGGGCCCUCGCCCUGGAAUGUGCUUUUCCAAUGUCACUCUUGAGUCUAAUUUAAGUGCUUCUUUCUCUAUGCUCCUACCAGUAUUCCUCAUAUGUCUGUUAAGAACAUAUUUCCCUCCACCACUAGGAUGUACGUUCCUUAAGGGUAAAGGUUUUGCUUUACACUUAACGUGAAAUCCCUCACAAUGCCUGGCGUGUACUAUGUAUCCCGUAUGUUUUCUAAAUGAAGGAGUGCAUGUCUUAGGUGUGGCUAAAUUCAAGCCAGAUUUUAUGGUACAAUAAAAAUGAUAAAACACUUUGGGGUCCAAUGCUCUGGCAGCAAAGGGUCAAGGGCAGGCAACUUAUCUGCGCAAAUACCUUCUCUACUAUUUAGAUAUUCCCCCACCUCUGCCUCCUGUGUCCAUAUGGUGACUCUAUUUUACAAAAAGCCAAAAAUCACAUGAUCUGACACAUGGUCUUAGCAGGGAAUAGAAUCUAUGAAAUUAUAACUGUCCCAGAAAAUCCAGCCCAUCUGGUAGGUGCUUUUUUUUUUAUUAAGAUAUAAUUUACAUACCAUAAAAGUCACCCUUUUAAAGUGUACAACUGUACAAUUCAGUGGUUUUUAGUAUAUUCAUAGAGUUGUGCAACCAUCAUGACUAUCUAAUUUCAGAACAUUUUCAUCACCCUAAAAAGAAAACCUUUGACCCAUUAGCAGUCAUUCCCUAUUCUCAUUCCCUCCCAGCCCCUGGCAGCCAUGAAUUUACUUUCUGUCUAUAGAUUUGCCUUUCCUGGACAUUUCCUAUAAAUAGAAUCAUGAAAUAUGUGGCCUUUUGUGUCUGGCUUUUUUCACUGAUACUUUCUUUAGGGCUUCAUGUUGUAGCAUGUAUCAGUACUUCAUUUCUUUUUAUUGACAAAUAGUAUUCCAUUGUAUGGAUAUACCAUAUUUUGUUUCUCCAUUUAUCAGCUGAUGGGCAUUUGGGUUGGUUCCACUCUUUGGCUGUUGUGAAUGCAACUAUAGAUGCUUUUAACACUGACCUACAAGGGAUGGGGUUGUGGUUAAUGAAACCAACAAAAAGGGCCUUUCCUUAUUGGACUUGUUGCCUAAGAGCAGUUUGGGAACAGGCUUUAAAGAGAGAGACCCAGAAAGGAAGGGAUGAUUGGAAGGCAAUAGAAGCUGUCUAUUUGGGUGACAUCAUCACUGGAGAGCAGGCUGCCCUGGCAGAAAAGACGAAGGAUAUACCAGUCCCAGUCUGACUUACCUCCAGAAGUGAUAGAAAAGUAGAGGGACAUUCAGCCCCAGCGUGAGCCACUCUUGCGCACACAGGAACAUAAUGCAGAAGAGGCUAUGGAUGGAGUAUUCUGGCAGCACCAGCUGAAGAGGGAGCAGAGACACGGCCCUGAGUUAGAGGAGGAAAACGCCACUCCUGCUUCUAUGGCAGCUGACUUCUGCCUGGACACUGCCUCUCACAGACGGUUGACACAAAGGCCCUCCCUGCAGCAACGUAGAGCCACUGCCCCAACACAGAUCCAUUUCUGAUACGCAUCAAGAGCCUACUAUGAGGUGUCAAACACUGUGGCAGGCACUGGAGGUGCCAGGAUGAGUUCAAUGAGCCUGGUGACAAUGUUCCAGGCACCCCCAGGCUGAUGGGAGAGACCGACAGCUGAACACUGGACCAUGCCGCAGCCAGCACUCACACACUGACUGAAGCUCUAGCGCUGGCUGGUCCCUUACAGGUGAGUACAGUUGGUCACAAAGGGUGUGGACAAAGAAGAAUCCAUGGAAAUUCAAACUCAACUCAACUCUCCAGGCUUUGAGCACCCAAUGCCCUGGAUUAAAUAUGGCAGGAGGCCCAGCAAAGACCUUACAAUAGAUCGGGAGAGAUAAACCGAAAACCUAAGUGACUAUAUAAUCCAAGGCUGAAUAUAGGGAGAAGCAAAAUAGAAGGAUAAGCAUAAUAGGGUCAAAGGAGGAGGGAGGCAGAUCAGCCAACACUAGCCCUUGCUGGGAUACACACUGCUAUGGACUGAAUGUUUGUGCCCUUCCCUAAAUUCAUAUAUUGAAGUCCUAAUCCCCAUUGUGAUGGCAUUAGGAGGUGGUGUCUUUGGGAGGUAAUUAGGUCAUCAGAGUGGAGCCCUCAUGAAUGGGAUUAGUGCCCUCAUAAGGAAAGACACUAAGGAGCAAGCUUCUCUUCUCUGCCAUGUGAGGAUACAGUGAGAAGGUGGCCAUCUGCAGAUCAGGAAGAGGGCCCUCAUCAGAACCCAGUCAUGCUGGCACCCUGAUCUUGAGGUUUUAACCUCCAGAACUGUGAGAAUAAAUUUCUGUUAAGCCACCAUCUAUGGUCUUUUCAUUGCAGCAGCCCAAGCACACGUGUGCAUGCACACACACAGACACACACACCAAAUGCCUCACUGGAGCUUCCUCCUACUGCUCCCCACUGUCGUGGUGCAAGGGGUGAAGGAAGAGCUGCAGGAAAAGGCUGGCCAGUGUUAUGAGAAGGGAAGGAAAGGUCACCCGUCCCUAGGUAUUGCAAAGAACCCUCUGCAGCUCCUGAUGUCCCC
rnacentral:lncRNA from 10 species